UUGUUGGUAAGGUAAAAGCUUACCAAGGCUUCGAUCAGUAGCUGGUCUGAGAGGACGGCCAGCCACACUGGGACUGAGACACGGCCCAGACUCCUACGGGAGGCAGCAGUGGAGAAUUUUGGACAAUGGGGGCAACCCUGAUCCAGCCAUGCCGCGUGAGUGAAGAAGGCCUUCGGGUUGUAAAGCUCUUUCAGCCGGAACGAAACGGUUACGGUUAAUACCCGUGACUACUGACGGUACCGGAAGAAGAAGCACCGGCUAACUACGUGCCAGCAGCCGCGGUAAUACGUAGGGUGCGAGCGUUAAUCGGAAUUACUGGGCGUAAAGCGUGCGCAGGUGGUUUUGUAAGUCAGAUGUGAAAGCCCCGGGCUCAACCUGGGAACUGCGUUUGAAACUACAAGACUAGAGUGUGGCAGAGGGGGGUGGAAUUCCGCGUGUAGCAGUGAAAUGCGUAGAGAUGUGGAGGAACACCGAUGGCGAAGGCAGCCCCCUGGGUCAACACUGACGCUCAGGCACGAAAGCAUGGGGAGCAAACAGGAUUAGAUACCCUGGUAGUCCAUGCCCUAAACGAUGUCAACUAGUUGUCGGGCCUUUACGGGCUUGGUAACGUAGCUAACGCGUGAAGUUGACCGCCUGGGGAGUACGAUCGCAAGAUUAAAACUCAAAUGAAUUGACGGGGACCCGCACAAGCGGUGGAUUAUGUGGAUUAAUUCGAUGCAACGCGAAAAACCUUACCUACCCUUGACAUGUAUCGAAGCCCGCAGAAAAGCGGGGGUGCCCGAAAGGGAACGAUAACACAGGUGCUGCAUGGCUGUCGUCAGCUCGUGUCGUGAGAUGUUGGGUUAAGUCCCGCAACGAGCGCAACCCUUGUCAUUAAUUGCCAUCAUUUAGUUGGGCACUUUAAUGAGACUGCCGG
rnacentral:rRNA from 1 species